rnacentral:rRNA from 1 species
GAUGAACGCUGGCGGCGUGCCUAAUACAUGCAAGUCGAGCGAACAGACGAGGAGCUUGCUCCUCUGACGUUAGCGGCGGACGGGUGAGUAACACGUGGAUAACCUACCUAUAAGACUGGGAUAACUUCGGGAAACCGGAGCUAAUACCGGAUAAUAUAUUGAACCGCAUGGUUCAAUAGUGAAAGACGGUUUUGCUGUCACUUAUAGAUGGCUCCGCGCCGCAUUAGCUAGUUGGUAAGGUAACGGCUUACCAAGGCAACGAUGCGUAGCCAACCUGAGAGGGUGAUCGGCCACACUGGAGCUGAGACACGGUCCAGACUCCUACGGGAGGCAGCAGUAGGGAAUCUUCCGCAAUGGGCGAAAGCCUGACGGAGCAACGCCGCGUGAGUGAUGAAGGUCUUCGGAUCGUAAAACUCUGUUAUUAGGGAAGAACAAAUGUGUAAGUAACUAUGCACGUCUUGACGGUACCUAAUCAGAAAGCCACGGCUAACUACGUG